rnacentral:rRNA from 1 species
ACGCUCGACACCUACGGGAGGCAGCAGUGGGGAAUAUUGGGCAAUGGGCGCAAGCCUGACCCAGCAACGCCGCGUGAAGGAAGAAGGCUUUCGGGUUGUAAACUUCUUUUAUCAGGGACGAAAUAAAUGACGGUACCUGAUGAAUAAGCCACGGCUAACUACGUGCUAGCAGCCGCGGUAAUCUGAGCGGGCUGGCAAGGC